rnacentral:lncRNA from 1 species
CACUCACACACUCACACACACUCACACACACACGCACACGCACGCACACACGGAGCAUCCUUCCGUCAGGUCUCCAGGUCCAGCCCCGCCCGCGCUCCUGCUUCCUGCAAACCUUCCUCUGCCCCCAAACUGCCCCCGCUCUCCAUUUCUCUCCGGCUGCGGGACCCUCCCCGCCGACCCUCCCCCCCCACCCCGGGAUGGAGCGUCUUGAGCCAGCCCGGAGCCCCCCGCGACCGGGGUGACGGUCCCUCGCCCCUCUCCUGCCCGGCCCCCGCCUUGAGCACCAUGGGCCUGAGGGGUUCCCGAGGCGCCAGCCACUGAAGAUGACCGAUGCUAGAGAGUUCAAGAAUGUUGGGAAGGUUCUUGGAGGCCCUGCAUCACCAACUCCUCCCCUACCCUGCUCAACCCCAGGGGGUGUUUUUUCCUCAGGAGUACCCCAGGAGUUUCAGGCCAUCCCUCAAGAUAGUGCUGAGAACCAGGCAUGGGUCAAGGCAGAGUUCUGCUUCUUCUGCAUCUCAAGUUUUCACAUCUGAAAAGUGGGGAUACUAAGAUCUCAAGCCUGGCUGGCUCACAGUGAGACCAUUAGGAACAGAGAAGGAG